rnacentral:rRNA from 1 species
ACGUAGGGUGCGAGCGUUAAUCGGAAUUAUUGGGCGUAAAGCGUGCGCAGGCGGUUAUAUAAGUCAGAUGUGAAAUCCCCGGGCUUAACCUGGGAAAUGCAUUUGAGACUGUAUGACUAGAGUGUGGGAGAGGAGGGUGGAAUUCCACGUGUAGCGGUGAAAUGCGUAGAGAUGAGGAGGAACACCGAUGGCGAAGGCGGCCUCCUGGGCCGAUACUGACGCUGAUGCACGAAAGCGUGGGGAGCAAACAG